rnacentral:rRNA from 1 species
UACAGAGGGGGCAAGCGUUGUUCGGUAAAUUACUGGGGCGUAAAGGCGCGUAGGCGGCCUGCUAAGUCAUACGUGAAAUCCCAUGGCUCAACCAUGGAACUGCGUGUGAUACUGGCGGGCUUGAAUUCGGGAGAGGGAUGCGGAAUUCCAGGUGUAGCGGUGAAAUGCGUAGAUAUCUGGAGGAACACCGGUGGCGAAGGCGGCAUCCUGGACCGAGAUUGACGCUGAGGCGCGAAAGCCAGGGGAGCAAACGGG